rnacentral:rRNA from 1 species
UAGGGAAUCUUCGGCAAUGGACGAAAGUCUGACCGAGCAACGCCGCGUGAGUGAAGAAGGUUUUCGGAUCGUAAAACUCUGUUGUUAGAGAAGAACAAGUACGUUAGUAACUGAACGUCCCCUGACGGUAUCUAACCAGAAAGCCACGGCUAACUACGUGCCAGCAGCCGCGGUAAUACGUAGGUGGCAAGCGUUGUCCGGAUUUAUUGGGCGUAAAGCGAGCGCAGGCGGUUUCUUAAGUCUGAUGUGAAAGCCCCCGGCUCAACCGGGGAGGGUCAGUGGAAACUGGGAGACUUGAGUGCAGAAGAGGAGAGUGGAAUUCCAUGUGUAGCGGUGAAAUGCGUAGAUAUAUGGAGGAACACCAGUGGCGAAAGCGGCUCUCUGGUCUGUAACUGACGCUGAGGCUCGAAAGCGUGGGGAGCAAACAGG